rnacentral:rRNA from 1 species
AUUGAACGCUGGCGGCAUGCCUUACACAUGCAAGUCGAACGGCAGCACGGGUGCUUGCACCUGGUGGCGAGUGGCGAACGGGUGAGUAAUACAUCGGAACAUGUCCUGUAGUGGGGGAUAGCCCGGCGAAAGCCGGAUUAAUACCGCAUACGAUCUACGGAUGAAAGCGGGGGACCUUCGGGCCUCGCGCUAUCGGGUUGGCCGAUGGCUGAUUAGCUAGUUGGUGGGGUAAAGGCCUACCAAGGCGACGAUCAGUAGCUGGUCUGAGAGGACGACCAGCCACACUGGGACUGAGACACGGCCCAGACUCCUACGGGAGGCAGCAGUGGGGAAUUUUGGACAAUGGGCGAAAGCCUGAUCCAGCAAUGCCGCGUGUGUGAAGAAGGCCUUCGGGUUGUAAAGCACUUUUGUCCGGAAAGAAAUCCUUGGCCCUAAUACGGUCGGGGGAUGACGGUACCGGGAGAAUAAGCACCGGCUAACUACGUG